UAUGUUGUGUUGUCACCGACCAUGAGUAUAUAACAGUUUGUUGGACAAAAGUAUUCUUGUGGUUUGUGCCAUGGUUGGGCACCAUCUUAAAUAUAAAAUGAUAACAUUGCAAACAUUUUUAUUUUGAAGGGCCAACAAGAAAGGAUUUCUUCCGGCAGCAUAACAAAGAACCCAUUGGGUGGAUGCAACACCCGAAUGCCUUUUUGACUAAAUCAUUUUAAUUAACUAAUUACAGUGGCGGAGCUAGAUGGGGAGGCAAAGGGCAAAUACAUCAAUUCUUGAGCAGUCCAAAAACUAUAAUUUGUUGAAUUAAGCACCCCCAAGAGUUCUUUAUUCACACAUUUUUUCAAGGUUGGGGGUUUAAUAAGAUCAAGCACUCCGUCCUCUGCCAGGUCGCCGCCGCUGCUCGGGACGUAGACGCGCACAUGGGUCCGUCAGUCGCUGGCAAACGAGGUCGAGUCCGUGCGGAGCACUGGUCUCCUCGCUGUCGUCGUCGUCCUCCCUGCUGCCAGCGACGCCCUCCUGUCUCCUCUGCACCAGUCUACUCCUUCAUAUUAUUUACAAAAGAAAAUGGUUUGGGGUGAAGAGUUGAAGGCUUGAAGCCAAAUGUUCCUAAUCAAGAAGAUGACCCGCACAACUCCCCUGAAACAAGGCCA